rnacentral:rRNA from 1 species
AGAGUGAACGCUGGCGGUAGGCCUAACACAUGCAAGUCGAACGGCAGCACAGUAAGAGCUUGCUCUUAUGGGUGGCGAGGGGCGGACGGGUGAGGAAUACAUCGGAAUCUACCUUUUCGUGGGGGAUAACGUAGGGAAACUUACGCUAAUACCGCAUAAGACCUUCGGGUGAAAGCCGGGGACCUUCGGGCCUGGCGCGGAUAGAUGAGCCGAUGUCGGAUUAGCUUGUUGGCGGGUAAAAGCCCACCAAGGCGACGAUCCGUAGCUGGUCUGACGAGGAUGAUCAGCCACACUGGAACUGAGACACGGUCCAGACUCCGUACGGGAGCAGCAGUGGGGAAUAGUUGGACAAGUGGGGCG